UUCUAGGUCUCGUUCCAGAUCAUAUUCUCCAGCACAUAACAGAGAAAGAAAUCACCCAAGAGUAUAUCAGAAUCGUGAUUUCCGUGGUCACAACAGAGGCUAUAUAGAAGGCCCUAUUAUUUUCGUGGGCGCAACAGAGGCUUUUACCCAUGGGGCCAGUAUAAUCGAGGCGGCUAUGGAAACUACCGUUCAAAUUGGCAGAAUUACCGGCAAGCCUAUAGUCCUCGGCGGGGUCGUUCUCGAUCCCGAUCCCCAAAGAGAAGAUCUCCUUCACCAAGGUCCAGGAGUCACUCUAGAAACUCCGAUAAGUCUUCUUCUGACAGGUCGAGGCGCUCCUCAUCCUCUCGUUCUUCCUCCAACCACAGCCGAGUUGAAUCUUCCAAGCGCAAGUCUGCAAAGGAGAAAAAAAUCCUCUUCCAAGGAUAGUAGGCCAUCUCAGGCUGCUGGGGAUAACCAGGGUGAUGAUUCCAAGGAGCAGUCAUUCUCUGGAGGCACCUCUCAAGAUACAAAAGCAUCUGAGAGCUUGAAGCAAUGGUCAGAUACCACCACCUAUGGCCCUGGUUCUACAUCAAGGGCUGUUUCUGACCUGAGUCCCCGAGAACGAAGUCCUGCUCUCAAAAGCCCUCUCCAGUCUGUGGUGGUGAGGCGGCGGUCACCCCGUCCUAGCCCUGUGCCAAAGCCUAGCCCUCCACUUUCCAGUACAUCCCAGAUGGGCUCAACGCUUUCGAGUGGUGCUGGGUAUCAGGCUGGGACACACCAAGGCCAGUUCGAACAUGGCUCUGGGUCCUUGAGUCCAUCCAAAAAGAGCCCUGUGGGUAAGAGUCCACCAGGCACUGGCUCCACAUAUGGCUCAUCUCAGAAGGAAGAGACUGCUGCUUCUGGAGGAGCAGCCUAUACAAAGAGGUAUCUAGAUGAGCAGAAGACAGAGAAUGGAAAAGAUAAGGAACAGAAACAAACAAAUACUGAUAAAGAGAAAAUUAAAGAAAAGGGGAGCUUCUCUGAUACAGGCUUGGGUGAUGGGAAAAUGAAAUCUGAUCCAUUUGCUCCCAAAACUGAUGUUGAAAAGCCUUUCCGGGGCAGCCAGUCUCCCAAAAGGUAUAAGCUUCGAGAUGACUUUGAGAAGAAGAUGGCUGACUUCCACAAAGAUGAGCUGGAUGACCAAGACAAGGACAAAGCUAAGGGAAGGAAGGAAUCAGAAUUUGAUGAUGAGCCCAAAUUUAUGUCAAAAGUCAUAUCAGGUGCAAAUAAAAACCAGGAGGAGGAAAAGUCAGGCAAAUGGGAAGGCCUGGUGUAUGCACCUCCAGGAAAAGAGAAACAGAGGAAAACGGAGGAGCUAGAGGAGGAUUCUUUCUCAGAGAGAUCCAAAAAGGAGGAUCGGGGAGGGACCAAGAGAACCGAGAGUGGGCACAGAGGUUUUGUGCCUGAAAAGAAUUUCCGGGUAACCGCAUACAAAGCAGUUCAUGAGAAAAGUUCAUCACCUCCCCCGAGAAAGACCUCUGAGAGCCGAGACAAGCUGGGAGGAAAAGGAGACUUUUCCACAGGGAAGUCUUCCUUUUCCGUCACUCGAGAGGCUCAAGUCAAUGUCCGGAUGGACUCUUUUGAUGAGGACCUUGCACGACCCAGUGGAUUACUGGCUCAGGAACGCAAACUUAGUCGGGAUUUAGUCCAUAGCAACAAAAAGGAGCAAGAAUUUCGUUCCAUUUUCCAGCACAUACAGUCUGCUCAGUCUCAGCGUAGCCCAUCAGAACUGUUUGCUCAGCACAUAGUGACCAUUGUUCACCAUGUUAAAGAGCAUCAUUUUGGGUCCUCAGGAAUGACAUUGCAUGAACGUUUUACUAAAUACCUUAAGAGAGGAACUGAACAGGAAGCAGCCAAAAAC